rnacentral:tRNA from 1 species
GCUGUGGCUCAGUGGAAAAGCGUCUGCUUCACAGGCUGCAGGGCCCAUGUUCAACCCCUGGCAUCUCCA